rnacentral:lncRNA from 10 species
CCCUCCAGCAGGAAACCAGUGUAGUUAUGUUGUUUGUACUUGCCAGGAUACACUUCCAUUUCAUAUUUGCAAGUACACAUAAAGGUAUCCUUCAUCAGCAGCACAGUGCUUCCUUUCCUCUGAAUCUGCCAUCAGCUCAGGCAGAUUUCUAAGCAGCAAAUCAGCCUUUGCCAGAACACUGCAGGACACCAGUGCAGCGCCCAGCCUGCGACCAUGAGGCUCUAGGGGAUGGUAGAGUCACAGGAUGGAAGAACUCUGUGUCCUUGAAUCAUUGCAUGGAAGAGAACUGGAAGUUGCCCAGGAACACCAGCCUUGGACAGUUAUGUGAACAAGAAAUAAACUUCUUUUACAGUGUCAUUUAUGUUUUUGAGCAUCUUUGUUACAGCGGCUAGGUGUAUACUAAUUCAGGGAUUCUGUGAUAGCAAUAUUUCUUCUUCUUUUGAGUAGGUUUCCAAAACUUGAUUUUCCACAAUUCUGAAAUAUUUUGGUUCUGGGAUAAACUUUUCUACUCUUUUGGCAGCACAAAGAUCCCUUUGUACAGAGGCACUGAUUUGUCUUCUUCUGGAGUAGCAUCCCAGUUUCUCACUGUGGCCAACAAAGCGAAUAAAAAGAAAAAAAGGAUCUGAAAUAGCAAUCCAGCGGCAGCCACCAAUACCUGAUAAUACUAUAGUCAAAGCUCCACAUUAGAGAACAGACCACUUUCAGGUGAGUGGCCCCUGGCCCUAGAAGUAAGUGGUAUUCAAAGAUGGUAAAUGGUAUGGGUGGCAGUAGAAGGUAGUAAUAACUAACCCUUAUUGGGCAUUUACCAUGUGCCAAGCACUGUUCUCAGAGCUUUAUACAUAGUAGUCCACUCAAUCUCCACAAAACCCUAUGUGGUAAAUACUAACAUAAUUCCUUUUUCUUUUUUAGAGACCUAGUCACGUUCUGUCACACAGGCUGGAGUACAAUGGUGCAAUCUUGGUUCACUGCAGCCUCAAACUCCUGGGCUAAAGC